UACAGAGGGUGCAAGCGUUAAUCGGAAUUACUGGGCGUAAAGCGUGCGUAGACGGUUAUUUAAGUCAGGUGUGAAGGCCCCGGGCUCAACCUGGGAAUUGCAUUUGAGACUGAAUAGCUAGGGUGCGGAAGAGGGAAGCGGAAUUUCCGGUGUAGCGGUGAAAUGCGUAGAUAUCGGAAGGAACACCAGUGGCGAAAGCGGCUUCCUGGUCCAGCACCGACGUUCAGGCACGAAAGCGUGGGGAGCAAACAGG
rnacentral:rRNA from 1 species